rnacentral:rRNA from 1 species
UACGUAGGUCUCAAGCGUUAUCCGGAUUUACUGGGCGUAAAGUGUCCGUAGCCUGAUAUAUAAGUCUGUUUUCAAAUACUCUGACUCAAUCAGAGAAAGGGGAUAGAUACUGUAUAUCUAGAAAUUGUUAGAGGUUAGUGGAAUUUCCGGUGGAGCGGUGAAAUGUGUUGAUAUCGGAAAGAAUGCCGAAAGCGAAAGCAGCUAACUAUAAUAAAUUUGACGGUGAUGGACGAAAGCUUGGGUAGCAAACGGGAUUAGAUACCCCGGUGGUCCAAGCUGUAAAUUAUGUUUGCUAGGUGUCUCUCCUAUACUUAUGUUUGUCGUAAGGAUAAAUGUAACUAUAGGAGGGUGCCGUAACCUAACGGGUUAAGCAAAUCGCCUGAGUAGUAUAUUCGCAAGAAUGAAACUCAAAGGGAUAGGCGGGGGAACACACAAGCAGUGGAUUAUCUAGAUUAAUUGGAUACGAAGCCAAGAAUCUUACCCGGACUUGACAUGCAUUGUGUCUACGGUGAAAGCCGUAUAUUUGUAGCAAUACAAAGCUUUGCACAGGUGGUGCAUGGUCGUCGUCAGCUCGUGCCGCAAGGUGUCUAGUUAAGUCUAGGAACGAGCGCAACCCUCAUCAUUAGUUAGAAUGUCUAAUGAGACUGCCUGGGCAACCAGGAGGAAGGAGAGGAUGACGUCAGAUCCUCAUGCCCCUUACGUCCGGGGCUUCAUAGAUAAUACAAUGGGUAGUAACAACGAGAAGCGAUAUCGCGAGAUGGAGCAAAUCUCUAAACCUACCCCUAGUUCGGAUUGUAGUCUGGAACUUGACUACAUGAAGUUGGAAUUGCUAGUAAUGGCGAAUCAGCCAUGUCGCCGUGAAUAUGUCCCUGUUCCUUGCACUCACCGCCCGUCAAACCAUGGGAGUUGAGGUUCUUUGAAGACUCGCUUAGGCGGGUUAAGGAGAAAAUCGAUGACUGGGGUU